AGCGAACGCUGGCGGCAUGCCUAACACAUGCAAGUCGAGCGCUCCCAGCAAUGGGGGAGCGGCGGACGGGUGAGUAACGCGUAGGAACGUAUCCUGAGGUGGGGGAUAACCCUGGGAAACUAGGGCUAAUACCGCAUGAUGGCGAGAGCCCAAAGAUUUAUCGCCUUGGGAGCGGCCUGCGUCUGAUUAGCUGGUUGUGGGGUAACGCCUACCAAGGCGAUGAUCAGUAGCUGGUCUGAGAGGAUGAUCAGCCACACUGGGACUGAGACACGGCCCAGACUCCUACGGAGGCAGCAGUGGGGAAUAUUGGACAAUGGGCGAAAGCCUGAUCCAGCAAUGCCGCGUGGAUGAAGAAGGUCUUCGGAUUGUAAAGUCCUUUCGGUCGGGGACGAAGGGUGACUGACGGUACCUGUAGAAGAAGCACCGGCUAACUACGUGCCAGCAGCCGCG
rnacentral:rRNA from 1 species